rnacentral:rRNA from 1 species
CGGACGGUGAGUAACACGUUGGAACCUGCCCCAAAGUGAGGAAUAAGCCACCGAAAGGUGGUCUAAUACUUCAUAAUAUCCAUCUCGUAUGGAUUAAAGCUUUAUGCGCUUUGGGAGGGGCCUGCGUAACAUUAGCUUGUUGGUGAGGUAAAAGCUCACCAAGGCUUCGAUGUUUAACUGGUUUGAGAGGAUGACCAGUCACACUGGGACUGAGAUACGGCCCAGACUCCUACGGGAGGCAGCAGUAAGGAAUCUUCCACAAUGGGGCAACCCUGAUGGAGCAAUACCGCGUGCAGGAUGAAGCGUUUCGGCGUGUAAACUGCUUUUAUCACCGAAGAUUAUGACUGUAGGUGAAGAAUAAGGACCGGCUAACUACGUG